UGACGCAGCGACGCCGCGUGGGUGAUGAAGGUCUUCGGAUCNUAAAACCCUUUUGCCAUUGACGAGCGAGGACGGUAGAUGGCGAAUAAGCCUCGGCUAACUACGUGCCAGCAGCCGCGGUAAAACGUAGGAGGCGAGCGUUAUCCGGAGUUACUGGGCGUAAAGCGUGCGUAGGCGGUUGCGUAAGUGGGACGUGAAAGCUUCCGGCUAAACUGGAAGAGGACGACUCAGACUGCGCGACUAGAGUGGGUCAGAGGUGGGCGGAAUUCGGGGUGUAGCGGUGAAAUGUGUAGAGAUCCCGAGGAACACCAGAAGCGCAGGCGGCGCACUGGGACCUAACUGACGCUGAGGCACGAAAGCGUGGGGAGCGAACGGGAUUAGAGACCCCGGUAGUCCACGCCGUAAACGAUGUCAACUGGGUGUUUGUUUGGGGAAACUCAAGUGGGCGCCAAAGCUAACGCGCUAAGUUGACCGCCUGGGGAGUACGGUCGCAAGGCU
rnacentral:rRNA from 1 species